GUGCCAGCAGCCGCGGUAAGACAGAGGUGCCAAGCGUUAGGCGGAAUCACCGGGCUUAAAGCGUGUGUAGGCGGAUGCCUAAGUACCUUGUGAAAUCCCACGGCUCACCCGUGGAACUGCUGGGUAUACUGGGCGUCUUGAGCCAGCUAGGGGUCGCCGGAACAAGUGGUGGAGCGGUGAAAUGCGUAGAUAUCACUUGGAACGCCAAAGGUGAAAACAGGCGACUGGGGCUGAGCUGACGCUGAGACACGAAAGCCAGGGGAGCGAACGGGAUUAGAUACCCUCGUAGUCC
rnacentral:rRNA from 1 species